rnacentral:rRNA from 1 species
UACGUAGGGUGCGAGCGUUGUCCGGAAUUAUUGGGCGUAAAGAGCUCGUAGGCGGUCUGUCGCGUCGAUCGUGAAAACUCGGGGCUUAACUCCGGGCCUGCAGUGGGUACGGGCAGACUAGAGUGCGGUAGGGGAGACUGGAAUUCCUGGUGUAGCGGUGAAAUGCGCAGAUAUCAGGAGGAACACCGGUGGCGAAGGCGGGUCUCUGGGCCGUAACUGACGCUGAGGAGCGAAAGCUAGGGGAGCAAACGGG